UACGUAGGGUGCAAGUGUUAUCCGGAAUUAUUGGGCGUAAAGAGCUCGUAGGCGGUUUGUCGCGUCUGCUGUGAAAUCCCAGGGCUUAACCCUGGGCCUGCAGUGGGUACGGGCAAACUAGAGUGCGGUAGGGGAGAUCGGAAUUCCUGGUGUAGCGGUGAAAUGCGCAGAUAUCAGGAGGAACACCGGUGGCGAAGGCGGAUCUCUGGGCCGUAACUGACGCUGAGGAGCGAAAGCAUGGGUAGCGAACAGG
rnacentral:rRNA from 1 species